CUUUGAGCUUGGAAGGAUAAGCUGGAAUAGGUUUGAUGCAGAAGAGAAAGUGAAGAGCAGGGUCCAUAAUGGAAGAAAGAGAAACAACGGUCUUCUCUUGGAUGCUAAGAACCUGCUAGCAGAGAUUGAGCAUAAUUUACUGGAUUUCCCCAACGGUAU
rnacentral:lncRNA from 11 species